rnacentral:rRNA from 1 species
GUAGCAAUACAUUGGUGGCGACCGGCGCACGGGUGAGUAACGCGUAUGCAACCUACCUAUCAGAGGGGAAUAACCCGGCGAAAGUCGGACUAAUACCGCAUAAAACAGGGGUUCCACAUGGAAAUAUUUGUUAAAGAAUUAUCGCUGAUAGAUGGGCAUGCGUUCCAUUAGAUAGUUGGUGAGGUAACGGCUCACCAAGUCCACGAUGGAUAGGGGUUCUGAGAGGAAGGUCCCCCACACUGGUACUGAGACACGGACCAGACUCCAACGGGAGGCAGCAGUGAGGAAUAUUGGUCAAUGGGCGAGAGCCUGAACCAGCCAAGUCGCGUGAAGGAUGAAGGAUCUAUGGUUUGUAAACUUCUUUUAUAUGGGAAUAAAGUGAGGAACGUGUUCCUUUUUGUAUGUACCAUAUGAAUAAGCAUCGGCUAACUACGUGCCAGC